UAUUGGUAUGAGCUUUCGUGUGCAUGCACACUUCUUCAGAUAAAUGUGUGCAUGCACACGAAAGCGCAUACCAAUA